GCCCUUGUAGCUCAACGGAUAGAGCGCUUCGCUACGGACGAAGAGGUUGCAGGUUCGAGUCCUGUCGAGGGUGC
rnacentral:tRNA from 1 species